UACGUAGGGUGCGAGCGUUAAUCGGAAUUACUGGGCGUAAAGCGUGCGCAGGCGGUGAUGUAAGACCGAUGUGAAAUCCCCGGGCUUAACCUGGGAACUGCAUUGGUGACUGCAUCGCUCGAGUAUGGCAGAGGGGGGUAGAAUUCCACGUGUAGCAGUGAAAUGCGUAGAGAUGUGGAGGAAUACCGAUGGCGAAGGCAGCCCCCUGGGAUAACACUGACGCUCGUUCACGAAAGCGUGGGGAGCAAACAAG
rnacentral:rRNA from 1 species